CCUACGGGUGGCAGCAGUGGGGGAUAUUGCACAAUGGGGGAAACCCUGAUGCAGCGACGCCGCGUGGGGGAAGAAGGAUUUCGGGAUGUAAAGCCCUAGCAGCAGGGAAGAAGAAAGGACGGUACGGGAGGAAGAAGCAGCGGCUAAAGACGUGCCAGCAGCCGCGGUAAUACGUAUGGUGCAAGCGUUAUCCGGAUUUACUGGGUGUAAAGGGAGCGAAGGCGGCACGGCAAGCCUGAGGGGAAAGCCCGCGGCCCAACCGCGGGACUGCCUUGGGAACUACCGGGCUGGAGUGCCGGAGAGGUCGGCGGAAUUCCUAGUGUAGCGGUGAAAUGCGUAGAUAUUAGGAGGAACACCAGUCGCGAAGGCGGCCUACUGGACGGUGCCUGCCGCUCAUGCUCGACCGCGUGGGUAUCAAACAGGAUUAGAUACCCUAGUAGUC
rnacentral:rRNA from 1 species